rnacentral:tRNA from 1 species
GGAGGGGUGGCAGAGCGGCCGAAUGCACCGGUCUUGAAAACCGGAGUCCGGGUAACCGGACCGCGAGUUCGAAUCUCGCCCCCUCCG